CCCUUUCCGUAAGGUGAACCUGCGGAAGGAUCAUUACCGAGUGCGGGCCCUCGCGGCCCAACCUCCCACCCUUGUCUCUCUACCCCUGUUGCUUUGGCGGGCCCACCGGGGCCACCUGGUCGCCGGGGGACGCACGUCCCCGGGCCCGCGCCCGCCGAAGCGCUCUGUGAACCCUGAUGAAGAUGGGCUGUCUGAGUACGAUGAAAAUUGUCAAAACUUUCAACAAUGGAUCUCUUGGUUCCGGCAUCGAUGAAGAACGCAGCGAAAUGCGAUAAGUAAUGUGAAUUGCAGAAUUCCGUGAAUCAUCGAAUCUUUGAACGCACAUUGCGCCCCCUGGCAUUCCGGGGGGCAUGCCUGUCCGAGCGUCAUUUCUGCCCUCAAGCACGGCUUGUGUGUUGGGUGUGGUCCCCCCGGGGACCUGCCCGAAAGGCAGCGGCGACGUCCGUCUGGUCCUCGAGCGUAUGGGGCUCUGUCACUCGCUCGGGAAGGACCUGCGGGGGUUGGUCACCACCAUAUUUUACCACGGUUGACCUCGGAA
rnacentral:rRNA from 1 species